GGCGUCGUGGCCUAGUGGCGAGGGCGUCGGGCUCAUAACUCGAAGGUCGAAGGUUCGAUUCCUUCCGACGCCA
rnacentral:tRNA from 1 species